rnacentral:tRNA from 1 species
GGCUACGUAGCUCAGUUGGUUAGAGCACACGAUUCAUAAUCGUGUUGUCGGUGGUUCAAGUCCACCCGUAGCCACCA